UACGGAGGGGGCGAGCGUUAUUCGGAAUUAUUGGGCGUAAAGGGCUCGUAGGCGGCCAACUAAGUCAGACGUGAAAUCCCUCGGCUUAACCGGGGAACUGCAUCUGAUACUGGAUGGCUUGAGUUCGGGAGAGGGAUGCGGAAUUCCAGGUGUAGCGGUGAAAUGCGUAGAUAUCUGGAGGAACACCGGUGGCGAAGGCGGCAUCCUGGACCGACACUGACGCUGAGGAGCGAAAGCCAGGGGAGCAAACGGG
rnacentral:rRNA from 1 species